UACGGGGGGGGCAAGCGUUGUUCGGAAUUACUGGGCGUAAAGGGCUCGUAGGCGGCCAACUAAGUCGGAUGUGAAAUCCCCAGGCUUAACCUGGGAACUGCAUCCGAUACUGGAUGGCUUGAAUCCGGGAGAGGGAUGCGGAAUUCCACGUGUAGCAGUGAAAUGCGUAGAGAUGUGGAGGAACACCGAUGGCGAAGGCAGCCCCCUGGGCUAACACUGACGCUCAUGCACGAAAGCGUGGGGAGCAAACAGG
rnacentral:rRNA from 1 species